GGAGCUCCGAGAGGCGGAGAAACAAAGUCGGAAAGCAGACUAAAACCGAGGUCUGAAGUGUUGCCUCGGUUUGUAAGUACUGUUAGAAAACUUAAAUACCGAAGAAGCCUGGAUACUAAAAUAAGCUUUGGAGCCGCUUUUUUUUGGUGAACACGAGUGAGGCUGGACGCUGAAUACACCUACAACGCGAAGGUGUCACCACUUCGUCCACCACAUGGUCCACAAUCACAGAGAUGUCGUCCACGAUCGCUGAGACAUGGUCCAUGAUCGGAGAGACACUGUUGAGGAUGAGGGAGACAUCGUCCACGAUCAGAGACGCUGUCCAUGAUCGCAGAGACCUUGUCAAAGAUGAGAGAGACGUUGUCCGUGAUCAGAGACAUUGUCCCAUGCUUCGUAGAGACCUUGCGAUAGAAUCGGCGGAGACGGGGGUCACCGAUUUGACGGCAUUGCCCGCGAUCGUGGAGACAUUGUCGAUGAUCACAGAGACAGCGUCUAUGAUCUCAGAGACAUCGUCCACGAUCACAAAGGCAUUGUCCACGAUCACAGAGACUUUGUCCAUAAUCUCAGAGACACUGUCCGCGAUCACAGAGACGUAGUCCACGAUCGCAGAGAAUCUUCAUACAAUGAAGAAGUUCUUUGAGACCAGGACAGAGGCCUCCGGGUGUCAUCACUUGGUCCACGGUCGCCGAGACAUCGUCCACAGUCGGAGAGACAAUGUUGAGGAUGAGGGAGACAUCGUCCACGAUCAGAGACGCUGUCCAUGAUCGCAGAGACCUUGUCAAAGAUGAGAGAGACGUUGUCCGUGAUCAGAGACAUUGUCCCAUGCUUCGUAGAGACCUUGCGAUAGAAUCGGCGGAGACGGGGGUCACCGAUUUGACGGCAUUGCCCGCGAUCGUGGAGACAUUGUCAAUGAUCACAGAGACAGCGUCUAUGAUCUCAGAGACAUCGUCCACGAUCACAAAGGCAUUGUCCACGAUCACAGAGACUUUGUCCAUAAUCUCAGAGACACUGUCCGCGAUCACAGAGACGUAGUCCACGAUCGCAGAGAAUCUUCAUACAAUGAAGAAGUUCUUUGAGACUAGGACAGAGGCCUCCAGGUGUCACCACUUCGUCCACCACAUGGUCCACAAUCACAGAGAUGUCGUCCACGAUCGCUGAGACAUGGUCCAUGAUCGGAGAGACACUGUUGAGGAUGAGGGAGACAUCGUCCACGAUCAGAGACGCUGUCCAUGAUCGCAGAGACCUUGUCAAAGAUGAGAGAGACGUUGUUCGUGAUCAGAGACAUUGUCCCAUGCUUCGUAGAGACCUUGCGAUAGAAUCGGCGGAGACGGGGGUCACCGAUUUGACGGCAUUGCCCGCGAUCGUGGAGACAUUGUCGAUGAUCACAGAGACAGCGUCUAUGAUCUCAGAGACAUCGUCCACGAUCACAAAGGCAUUGUCCACGAUCACAGAGACUUUGUCCAUAAUCUCAGAGACACUGUCCGCGAUCACAGAGACGUAGUCCACGAUCGCAGAGAAUCUUCAUACAAUGAAGAAGUUCUUUGAGACCAGGACAGAGGCCUCCGGGUGUCACCACUUCGUCCACCACAUGGUCCACAAUCACAGAGAUGUCGUCCACGAUCGCUGAGACAUGGUCCAUGAUCGGAGAGACACUGUUGAGGAUGAGGGAGACAUCGUCCACGAUCAGAGACGCUGUCCAUGAUCGCAGAGACCUUGUCAAAGAUGAGAGAGACGUUGUUCGUGAUCAGAGACAUUGUCCCAUGCUUCGUAGAGACCUUGCGAUAGAAUCGGCGGAGACGGGGGUCACCGAUUUGACGGCAUUGCCCGCGAUCGUGGAGACAUUGUCGAUGAUCACAGAGACAGCGUCUAUGAUCUCAGAGACAUCGUCCACGAUCACAAAGGCAUUGUCCACGAUCACAGAGACUUUGUCCAUAAUCUCAGAGACACUGUCCGCGAUCACAGAGACGUAGUCCACGAUCGCAGAGAAUCUUCAUACAAUGAAGAAGUUCUUUGAGACCAGGACAGAGGCCUCCGGGUGUCACCACUUCGUCCACCACAUGGUCCACAAUCACAGAGAUGUCGUCCACGAUCGCUGAGACAUGGUCCAUGAUCGGAGAGACACUGUUGAGGAUGAGGGAGACAUCGUCCACGAUCAGAGACGCUGUCCAUGAUCGCAGAGACCUUGUCAAAGAUGAGAGAGACGUUGUCCGUGAUCAGAGACAUUGUCCCAUGCUUCGUAGAGACCUUGCGAUAGAAUCGGCGGAGACGGGGGUCACCGAUUUGACGGCAUUGCCCGCGAUCGUGGAGACAUUGUCGAUGAUCACAGAGACAGCGUCUAUGAUCUCAGAGACAUCGUCCACGAUCACAAAGGCAUUGUCCACGAUCACAGAGACUUUGUCCAUAAUCUCAGAGACACUGUCCGCGAUCACAGAGACGUAGUCCACGAUCGCAGAGAAUCUUCAUACAAUGAAGAAGUUCUUUGAGACUAGGACAGAGGCCUCCAGGUGUCACCACUUCAUCCAUGACAUUGUCCAUGAUCGAUGAGAUGUUGUCCACUAUCACAGACUGUCUUCAUACAAUGACGUUCUUUG